rnacentral:rRNA from 1 species
GAUGAACGCUGGCGGCGUGCCUAAUACAUGCAAGUCGAACGAAACUUCUUUAUCACCGAGUGCUUGCACUCACCGAUAAAGAGUUGAGUGGCGAACGUGUGAGUAACACGUGGGCAACCUGCCCAAAAGCGGGGGCUAACACUUGGAAACAGGUGCUAAUACCGCAUAACCAUCUUUACCGCAUGGUCACUAUGUAAAAGGUGGCUCUCCUACCGCCUUUGGAUGGGCCCGCGCCGCAUUAGCCAGUUGGUAGGGUAAAGGCUUACCAAGGCAAUGAUGCGUAGCCGAAUUGAGAGGUUGAUCGGCCACAUUGGGACUGAGACACGGCCCAAACUCCUACGGGAGGCAGCAGUAGGGAAUCUUCCACAAUGGGCGAAAGCCUGAUGGAGCAACGCCGCGUGGGUGAAGAAGGUCUUCGGAUCGUAAAACCCUGUUGGUAGAGAAGAAAGGGAGUGAGAGUAACUGUUCACGUUUCGACGGUAUCUAAACAGAAAGCCACGGCUAACUACGUG